rnacentral:lncRNA from 1 species
CUGAGAUCCAGCGGGUACUUGUGAUCUGCACUGACUUCCUUCAUUUAAGUUUGGAACCCCUCAGUCAUCCAUGAGGAUUAAAGUCAACUUCUUCCAAACUCCUGUUAAUGUUGAUAUUUGGACCUCCUCCCAGGAAUCACACAUAUUCUUAAUGGCAUCUAGAAUGCCAAAAUUUUUCCAGAGUGUUUUCAACUUAAUUCAUCCAGGUCCAUCAAAGAAAUCACUAUCUAUGGCAGCUAUAGCUUUACAAAAUAUAUUUCUUCAAUAAUAAGACUUGAAAGUUGAAAUUACACCUCAUCUAUGGGCUACAGAAUAGAUGUUGUGUUAGCAGGCAUGAGAACUGCAUUAAUAUCCUUGCAUAUCUCCAUCAGAGCUCUUGGGUAACAAGGUAUACUGUCAAUGAAUGAGCAGUAAUAUUUUGAAAGGAAUCUUUUAUUCUGAGCACUAGGUCUCAACAGUGGGCUUAAAAUAUUCAGUAAACCAUACUGUAAACAGAUGUACUACAUCUAGGCUUUGUUGUUCCAUUUAUAGAGUACAGGCAGAAAAGAUUUAGCAUACUUCUUAAGGGCCCUAGGAUUUUUGGAAUGACAAAUGAGCAUUAGCCUCAACUUAAAGUCACCAGCUACAUUAGCUCCUAAUGAGAAUCAGUCUGUCCUUUGAAGAUUUGAAGCCAGGCACUGACUUCUCUAGCUAUGAAAUUCCUAGAUGGCAUCUUCUUCCUUAAGUUGACAAGUAAAACUUAUGAAUUGCUAAAGAUUUCUCCAGCAUUAUUGAAAUAUAGAGAAGCAGAAUAAAAGAAAAGAAAAUCUUCUAAGUAAUGCCUUCAAAACUUUUCUUGAGUUACCUAUUCAUAUUUCCUUUUAAUUAUUUUGGCAUCUUGGGUGCUAUUUCUGCUAAUCUCAAUUACUUAUCUUGAUACUAAUCAUAUCAUUCUCACUAUAAUUUAUUAAAUUAUUUUACUAUGAGCAAUAGAGUAGAUGAUGAUGUCAUUUACUAACUUAGAUAAAAGACUGAGGAGGGAAGAGGUGUACAAGAAGUAAAUGAUCAAACUGUUGGCCAUUUGGAUAUGCCAUUUGGAUAAUGGCAAGUGGCCAUUUGGAUAUCAGCCACUUGAAAAGUGCCUGAUCGUUUUCCUCAUUUUAAAAACUGAAGUAUAUGUCUUUUUCUUACUUAUUUUUAGGAGUUUUAAUACAUUCGGGAUAUUCUUUCUUUUUCAAAUAUAUGUGAUGCAAAUAUCUUCUCCCAUUCUUCAGCUUCCCUUUUUAUUCUGUUACUGCUGUCUUUUGAUGAAUAAAAGUUCCUCAUUUUAGUAAAUUUCUCUUUCCUUUAUUGUUAUUACAGUCCAUGUCCUCCUCAAGAAAUAUUUGCUAUUCCAAGGUCAUAAUGAUAUUCUGCAAUGUUUUCUUCUAGAAACUUUAUUGUUUUUUCUUUCGUUUAGGUCUGCAAUCCAUCUGGAAUU